rnacentral:rRNA from 1 species
AUUACAAUGGUAUUGUAAUAAGAUUUUUAUACUCUGCAAUGCUAAAAGAAUGGAAAUUUAAAAAAAAACUUUUUUAAAAAUAAAAAUUGAAUUUUUUUUAAUUUGUGCAAAAACAAUUAUUAUUAUUAAAGACAAGAAGACCCUAAGAAUUUAUGAUUUUGUAAUUAAAAGUUUUUUUUUAAAAAUCUUGAUUGGGGCGAUCAAAAAAUAUUAAUAACUUUUUAAAUUUAAAUUGAUCUAUUAUUAAUAAACUAAUGAAUUAAAUACUCUAGGGAUAACAGCGUAAUAAUUUUUGAUAGAUCUUAUUGACAAAAUAGUUUGCGACCUCGAUGUUGGAUUAGGAUUCUUUUUUAAUGAAGAAGUUAAAAAAAGAAGUUUGUUCAACUUUUAAAUUCCUACUUGAUCUGAGUUCAGACCGG